GCUGCCCUUCCUGCCGUUAGACCCUCAAACCCUCUCCAGCAAGGCCCGUGACCCCAGCUUUCGCCGCCACCCUCGAAUCAACCAUGAUUGUUGGAGCCACCGGAAGAUCCAGAACCGUUGCCACACUUUUUUCUUGAAGUGUAGAACUCGUCGUAUCCUCAUAUCGGAAUUCAAUAUUCCAUGUUGCCACACCUACAACAUGACGUGCACAGAUCCAUGAUGCUUUGCUUUGAUCACCGGAAACCCAGACCCACAAGUCCCUUUCUCGCCUUCCCGCGGUGGAAGAGAAUGUUCGGUAUAGCCUCUAUAAAGAGGGAUCUCGGUUGGAGUUUCGUCUAACACGAUCGACGUUGGUUUGCCUUUAGAUGCCUCUCAUCGUUCGAGAGCGAAACCCUGCUUGGUGUUGGCCUGCUAAGUUUUCGAUCUCUUCCCCGAGACCCAAUUUUAUUGUUUUUUUUUUAAGGGAGUUUCUAUUCAUAUCUCCAAAUUUGGCAUGUGGACCUGCUCACUUAAGACUUCAAACUUACUUUAAUAUAUAAUGUAUAUCGCAAUUUGUAUCAGAUUCUUGUUUGUGCAGAUUAUGAUUCCGAAAGCUCGUGCAGAUAUACACAUCAAUCUUCCAGCACUUAAGAAGUUGGACUCGAUGCUUAUUGAAACACUUGAUUCAAUGGUGGAUACUGAGUUUGGGUAUGUAGAAGGUGGUAGCAGGGCAGAAGGACGAAACAGAACUCCAGGUCAGAGCAAGAGAUGGUGGCUCCCAUCACCUCAGUGAUGUCAAUAGAGUGUGGAAAAAAGAGCAAAUUUUUAGGAGGCGAUAAUAGAGACAGUCAAAAGAGAGGACAAAGAAUGCUUAAUGAUCAGAAUCUGACUAUUCCUAACAUGACCAUGGAUUGUAGAAGAAAAUCAAAAAGGUGGAGAGAAGGUAAUUAGCAUCUGAGACAUUGAUCAUCAAAGACAAUCAGAUUUUUGACAGCAAUGAUCAAAAUGGAUGUCAACAAACAGUGGAAAAAGGAAACUAAGGAGAGUUUCAGAAGGUGAUGUUGCUAAUAUGAGCAUGGAUUGUCGAAGAAAAUCAAAAAGGUGGAGAGAAGCAUCUGAGCCAGUGUUAAUAAAAAAGAAUCAGACGUUCGAGAGUAAUAAUGAAAAUGACAAUGCAUCUAACUAUUGUGAUGAGGGAAGUAGAAACGAUCGACAAAAUUCUGACGUGAUUGUAAAUGAAAGGUUCUUUUCCCAUAAAAAUUCAGAUGCUUAUAAUACAAAUAUGAUAGGUUCUGGACUGGCUUUUUUGGCUGAGGUGUCUUUGGUUGCAAACCACUCGCUUCAACUUUAAAGGCUUGACACCAUGGCUACACAGACUAAGUUCCUGGAAUAGUGGGAAGACAAGAGUUUGUAUCAAUAUGUUGGCUAUUGAAACCAAGUUCCUGCACAAACUCUAUAUGUGGCAUGUUUUACGUAGUUGUAUAAGCUUUUGGGAAAUGCUUUUAACAUUAAUUAAGAGAUAUAUGAAAUAGGUUUGAUUACUCA